rnacentral:rRNA from 1 species
GAAGGUGAAGUCGUAACAAGGUCUCCGUUGGUGAACCAGCGGAGGGAU